rnacentral:lncRNA from 1 species
CGCCACAAGUACAGAAAGUCCACUAUUUAGAUGGACAGAGUCUCCCUUGUAUUUGCACGGCGUCACACAAGUACAAAGUAGACAAACAAGAUACAACCACUCCCACUGAACAUACAAAUAUUCAUACAUUCAUAAGUUCAUACACCAUUCAUCACAGGUUCAUAUACAGAGUCUUAAUAAUAAAACCAUGACUAUCAUUUAAAAUGUUUCCUAUCGGGAAACCUGUUUUGAAAUACUAAGUUACAAAACCACGAGAAAACCCAUUUAAAACUGUUUCCCACACGGAAAUAUUUUUCUUUUUAAAACACGCUACCACGAGAGGUAGAAAAUCAUUUUCAGUUUACAAAACCAUAAAUCAUUUAUUCAAGAAAUUCCGAUUAUUCAAAUAUAACAACAAAACUGAACCAUAUAGAUGUCUAAGUCAUAUCCUCAGAAAUAAAGAGAUAGUAACUAAAUUAACAAACCGGGUCGGAAGCUCUAUCGACCGCUACCAACGUGUCUCAUGUCUCGUCUCAUCCCUCACCGCCCGCAAUACCUGAAAAUGGUGGGGGAGGUGAGAACAUGUAAACAUGUCUCCCCUCCCAGUGGGUACCGCAAGCCGACGAAGGCGAGGAGUACUCACCGGAUUCGGAAGAGAUAAACAAGGUCAUGAGUAGAUAUACUAAAUACAGUGGCAACAAUAAUACAUGAACAGGAUGUAUAAGAACAACUACCGCUACUGUAAGGAAGAACUGAAUGUAUACAUGGAUAUCAACUAUAGUAGUAAGACAACUGUAAAGAAAGAACUGUAAGUAUGCAAGCAACAACUGCUACUAUAGUCAUAUGCGUCAACCAGACGACACGUCCAAAAAUACC